rnacentral:tRNA from 1 species
CGGGUGUAGUUCAAUGGUAGAACCUCAGCCUUCCAAGCUGAUGAUGUGGGUUCGAUCCC